rnacentral:rRNA from 1 species
UACGUAGGGUGCGAGCGUUAAUCGGAAUUACUGGGCGUAAAGCGUGCGCAGGCGGUUCGCUGUGUCCUGUGUGAAAGCCCCGGGCUUAACCUGGGAUGGCAUGGGAAACUGGCGAGCUUGAGUGCGGCAGAGGGGGGUGGAAUUCCGCGUGUAGCAGUGAAAUGCGUAGAGAUGCGGAGGAACACCGAUGGCGAAGGCAGCCCCCUGGGUCGACACUGACGCUCAGGCACGAAAGCGUGGGGAGCAAACAGG